CUUGAUCCUACUAUAAAGUAUGGAUUAGACUUAUAUGUUGCAUGUGUAGUAGUUGAUGC
rnacentral:antisense_RNA from 1 species